UAUAAGCACGGUAGUGGUACUGGUAAGUAAACAGCUGCGCAACACAGGUGCACACAGGUGUGUUGCUCUAGGUUCAUUUGCGUGCAAGCUCACGUUCAGGCGGGGGCACCCACGCAUUCGAUGGGGCCAAAGACUAAGCCGAUGAUGGUGGGAGCAUAGCACACGCAAGUGCGUGGUGCGAUGACGAUACCAGGGCCACCGCUGCUCGGAGAGUAAAUGCUAGGACUCAGAACGAUGCCUCUUUCAGCAUACUCUGGAAUGGCUUUUAGCAGCUCGAGUAAGUUUUUGAAACCGGGAGGACAGAAAGCUUGGGAUGGCGCCGGUGAAGGUGUCGGUACAGGCGUCGGAGCAGGUGUCGGUGCAGACCGCGGAACCGGUGCUGGUGGCCAUGCUUGGGCUUGCUUGGAAGCCGCGAGCAUGAGAGUCACGGCGACGAACAGGGAUGCCGGGGAACCUAUGGAUGACUUGGAUGCCAUUGCUGGCUGCGGAUGUUAUCUCAACCGUGUCUGUGCCUUCAAGUGUUACCCAUCUUACCAUGUGUUUAUAUAUAGG
rnacentral:lncRNA from 1 species